rnacentral:rRNA from 1 species
UGAAGUUUUUGCAUUUUAGGGGUUUUAGUGUUAGGUAGAAAAAGUAAUUUUUUAGGUUUUUUUUGUAUUAUAGAUUUUUGAAGUAGGUAUUAUUAAAGAGCAGUUUUGGAGGUAAAAAAUUUUUUUAAUAGUAAUAUGUGGGUAUGUACCUUUGGUAUCAGGGUGUGUUAAAAUUUUUAAUGUAUUUUUUUAUCCCGAAAGAGAAUGAGUUACAUAGCUAGUUUUUUAUUGUGGUAGAAAUAAGAGUAAUAGUUAUAGUAGUAGUGAGAUGCUAUUCGUAUUUUUAGAUAUCUGGUUCUUAUAGAAAUCAUGGAGAUGUCCAUCAGUUUAUUUUUCAAGCUGGUAGAAAGGUUGUUAGGGCUAAGCUUAACAUUCUAUUUCUAUAUUAAUAAUUAGAUAUAGUUAGAUUAGGCUUAAGAGUAGCUUUGUGUUUUAUAACAUAUUUUUGUUUUGUUAUAUUAGUAAGGUAUGUAGGGGUUUUUAUAAUUUAUUAUAGAAAGUAACAAUGAUAUAAUUAGUAGAGUUAGUUUUAGGUUUUUAGUUUAGGUGUAUAUAUUGAUGUAUGAAUUUUUAGGGUAUUUAAAAGGAACUCGGCAAAAUGAUUUUUUAACUGUUUAUCAAAAACAUUUCCUUAAGGGUGUAUUUAAGGUAAGUUCUGCCCCCUG